UGGGAUUGAAUGACCCGCGCUCGCCCGGCGGCCUCCGCUGGCGCCAUGGCCUCCUCCGCCGCCGCCGCCGCCCCCCCCGCGACGCCCCUCUCGCCCGCGCGGCUCUCGCGGCUGCAGGAGAAGGAGGAGCUGCGGCAGCUCAACGACCGCCUGGCCCACUACAUCGAGCGGGUGCGCGCGCUGGAGCUGGAGAACGACCGGCUGCUGCUGCGCGUCUCCGAGAAGGAGGAGGUGGUCACGCGCGAGGUGACGGGCAUCAAAGCGCUGUACGAGGCGGAGCUGGCCGACACCCGGCGGGCCCUGGACGAGACGGCCCGGGAGCGGGCCAGGCUCCAGAUCGAGGCCGGGAAGCUGCGCGCCGAGUUCGAGGAGCUGCGACGGAGCUACAAAAAGAAGGACGGGGAGUGGUCCACCUCCCAGGGUCGCAUCAAGGAGCUGGAGGUGCUCUUCCAUCGGAGCGAGGCAGAGCUCACAGCCACUCUAAGUGAGAAACAGAGCCUGGAGGCUGAGGUGGCUGAUGCCCGGGCCCAGCUGGCAAAGUCGGAGGACGCCCAUGCUGUGGCCAAGAAGCAGCUGGAGAAGGAGACCCUCUUGCGGGUGGACCUGGAGAACCGCUGCCAAAGCCUGCAAGAGGAGCUCGACUUCAGGAAGAGCAUCUUCGAGGAGGAAGUGAGAGAGACUCAGAAAUGGCACGAGCGCCAUCUGGUGGAGGUGGACAGCAGCUGCCAGAAGGAGUACGAGUCGAAGAUUGCCCAAGCCCUGGAAGACCUGCGCAGGCAGCACGACCACCAGGUGCAGCUCUACAAGCUGGAAUUGGAGCAGACCUAUCAGGCCAAGCUGGAGAACGCCAAGAUCUGCUCAGAUCAGAACGAACGGGCAGCCAGCGCCGCUCGGGAGGAGCUGAAUGAAGCCCGCAUGCGGAUCGAAGCUCUCAGCUACCAGCUCUCUGGGCUGCAGAAGCAGGUGAGCACAGCGGAAGAGCGGAUGCGGGACCUGGAGGAGCUGAUGGCCGGAGAGCAGGAGAAGCUACGGAAAAUGCUAGACGCCAAAGAGCGGGAGAUGACGGACAUGCGGGAGCAGAUGCAGCAGCAGCUAAUGGAGUACCAGGAACUGCUGGACGUCAAGCUGGCCCUGGACAUGGAGAUCAGCGCGUACCGGAAGCUGCUGGAAGGGGAAGAGGAAAGGCUCAAGCUGUCCCCUAGCCCUCCAUCCCGCAUCACCGUCUCCCGGGCCACCUCCUCCAGCACCUCGGGCACUCGCUCUUCACGGGGCAAGAGGAAGCGGGCGGAGGCCGAGGAGCUGCCAGGACAGAUGCCUAGUGGGAGCACUCGUGGGGGGGGCAGCACUGGCAGCAGCCUCCAGGUCACCCAGCAGGCCUCGGCCAAGGGCAGCAUCAGCAUCGAGGGAGUGGACCCCGAGGGGAAGUUCGUUCAGCUGAAGAACCAUUCUGACAAGGACCAGUCACUCGGGAGCUGGAGGCUGAAGAGAACAAUUGGGGAGGGAGAGGAGAUUGCGUACAAAUUUACUCCCAAGUAUGUCCUCCGGGCCGGGCAGACGGUGACGAUCUGGGCUGCUGAGGCUGGGGUGGCACACAGCCCUCCCUCGGUGCUGGUCUGGAAGAACCAGGGCAGCUGGGGCACUGGGGACCACAUCCACACGUGCCUGGUGAACUCUGAGGGAGAGUAUCCCCCUUCUGAGGCUUCUUUGGAUGGCGCCCUUCUUCCUCUCCCUGCUAGGAAGUGGCUGUGCGGAGUCUGACCCAGCUGACGACCGAGCUGCAGGAGAACGGGGAGGAGGAGGAGGAGGAGGAGGCCGAGUUCGGGGAGGAAGAUCUCUUCCACCAGCAGGGGGACCCCAGGACCACCUCCAGAGGAUGCGCCCUCAUGUGAAAAGAAGGAACCCUUCGUCUUCCCCCUCCUUCCCCCCCUUUUUUUUUCUUUUGCCUGCAUUUCUGGGAAACUAUUUUUCUAAGUCUUCUAUGGCUUAUUUUUUACUUUGAGCGGAACUGAGUUUUAAAAAGCAGGAAGUGGGUCUGCCCGGGUUGCCUCUUGUGCUCUUGCAGCUGCUUUUUAGCCCCGAGCAGAAGGGGUGGGGAGGGAGGCACGGCGUUUCCUGUGGCAGCUGCAGGGAUGAAGAGCUUGAAGGGGCGGGGGGGGGGGGCGCUGGAUUCCACCUUGGAAGAAGCAGGCGAUUCCAAACUCUGGGCUUGUGUCCAGAGCCUUUUGCCUCCGUUCAAACAAAGCACAGAAGGGGAUACCACAACCCUGGGACAACCCGGGAGCCCGGCUGGUCUCUGUGGCCUGGGUGGGGUGGGGUGCUUGCAUGGCCUCUGCCUGAACAUCUCCAACCAGCUUCCUGUUGAGAAUCCCUCUUGUGACAGGAUGGGCCAGCAUUCGGGAGCCAUGGCAGGAGGACGGGACACAGGUGAGCAGGUGAUCACCACCACCACCACCACCCCUUCCCCUCUAAGGAGGGAUGGGCAGCAAAGGAGCGGUUGGAGACGGGACACAUAAGGUUGAAUCCAGAGGAGAUCCGGCAUAAAAAACGCUGGCCUCUGCCACGAGCUGAGGGCAGCACCAAAAUCAAGCCCAAAAUGACUUGAUUUUUCUUAGGUGUUGUGAAGAAAAGAAUCCUUACGGAACCAGUUAUUUCCUGACAGAUCAUAGAAAUACCGUUGAAAUGCGAUCUGGCCAACUUUUUGUAUGAGAGGUUGGAUUCUAAAGUGGUUUUGAGUUGCCAGAGGCCGUUUCAGCUGGGAUUCCUGGCCCUUGGGGUGAACACAUCCCAAUUUUAGUCAGCUCUCAUGGUCCAAAAAUUACAUUUGUGUUUAGCGCUGAUCUUCCUCUUUGAACACUAGCCUUGAAACACACUGCCUUGGUUCUUCAUUUUAUGUAUUUUUUUAAAAAUGACAAAAUUUUAAUGAAAAAAAAGUCUUGAAUUUCAGUGAGCUACAUUCCCAAGAGUUGGUUGCUAGUCCAUCACCUUCGAUGGCAACAUCGAAGGGCUGGACUGCCCUCUGUCACCUUGGCCACUCUGUCUCACUUGCUCUGAAAUUGAAAAGAGCUUGGAAGGGACUGGAGACUGUCCAAAAUUGGGAAGACCCCCAAAUUCAUAGAGUGCAAAGGGACGUCUAAUCCAAGUGAUGUUUCUGGGACGUGAUAUCAAAGAGAACAAAGGAAAAAAUUGAUGUCUGAGACGGUGCUUAGCUGUAGCAAGAUUGUGACUAGGAAAUCAAAACAAAUAAUGUUUAAGCAGCAAACAUUACAGAGAUGUUUCAAUACUACAUAAUGUGUUAAUAACCAGUGUGAAUUAAUGUAAAAGUAUUUUAGAUGUAGAAACUCUGAGCCACUUUCUGUGGAGCUGCUAGUGUUACAGCUCAGAAAAGGGGGCUUGACGUGGGAUAAGGUUACAUAAAUUCUUAUCUAUUCCACACACACAAACACACAAAUCCUCCCGGUCAGUUUGCAGGAGGGAGGCUGGAUGGACCACAGCCAUGCUUCCUGUGUGAUUCAGGAUUGGGGGGAGGGGGUCUGUCGGAGGAGUCCAUCCUCAUAGAGCCUUGUCUGUGGACCUUCUGCCUCCCAGCGCAUCAGCUGCAACAUACACACACACACCCCACCCGAACCCUUCUUGGGGCUGGCCUUCCCUUUAACGGCCUCCAACAUGGAGAGAUGGAGAGGCUGAGCCGGAGGUCACCCAUUGACCUGUCCAUGGGGCAGGAAGUGGGGGCAGAGGGGCACAGUUUCAAAGGCACCCUCCAAUAGAUCUGCCUGCCUUUCUUCACCCACACACCCCUUCCCCACAGUUUGUGGGGCUAACAGUGAAGACACAGAGGUGCAGAUUCUUUGAGAGCCAUAUUUGGACUGCCUUGAUCUUUCUCUGGGUUUUUUGCACUGCUCCCUGGAAGUGCUGGGGGUGGGGGAGAGGAACCAGGGUUAGCUAGGAGAUCCAUUUAGCACCUGACCAGCAUUUGGUUGUGACGUCGUGUGGUUGGUUUGCUCUGGAAAUACUUGCUUUAUACUUCAUACAAAAUGUGACUUAAAAUUUAUUUUAAACCCAUGUUUACACAUAGUUAUUGAUAAAUCUUAGCACCCCUUUGAAAUACACUGGAUAUUGGGGGGGGCUCUUUGGACCCCCUCAGUUUCAUCCCUGACAGCCGCAGCUUUCCUCAAAAAAAAUCGGCCAGCCAGCCUGGACCCCACGAACUGGACUUGAGAAAGGCCCAACUCCUCUCCAGCCUUUUCCCUUCUCUCCACUGCCCUGAACACAUGCACUGGGGGGAGCACCUUUGUGGGGAGGAGUGCUGGGAGUGCUUGGCCAGCUCGGCAGGAUCACACUACAUUUUGCAAGCAAUACACUUUCUGAAAGCCCUUGUGGCGAGGCAAGCAUUGACUUGAUUCCUAACCCAUUUCUUUUUUAGAAGUCUAUUUUUGUAGCAGUGUGAUUUGUUUUGUUUUAUUUUGUUUACUGGGGAGUUUUGUUUCCCAAAAUGGGAACGGCUGAAAGGAUCUGCUUGUGGUGGGAGGGCACUUAACGCUGGCCAGUGCAUCAUGUUUUCAGGGGCAAACUGACCCCUUGUGUUUUUGUGUUCUUAUGGAUAUGCAUGCUUCAUGUCUUGUCUUUUUCAGCAAUCUAUAAUACAUUUUUUGGACUGGAAACAUUUUGUACAACACAAAUAAAUGUUUUGCAUUUUUAUCU